GACGAACGCUGGCGGCGUGCCUACUACAUGCAAGUAGAACGCAGUUGCGAACGGGUGAGUACCGCGUAGGUAACUGCCUGGUAGCGGGGGAUAACUAUUGGAAACGAUAGCUAAUACCGCAUACUACCAGAUGGACCUGCGUUGUAUUAGCUAGUUGGUGAGGUAACGGCUCCCCAAAGCAACGAUACAUAGCCGAACUUGGAGGGUGAUCUGGCACACUGGGACUGGGACACGGCCCAGACUCCUACGGGAGGCAGCAGGAGGGAAGCUUCGGCAAUGGGGCGAACCCUGACCGAGCAACGCCGCGGGAGUGAAGAAGGUUUUCGGAUCGGAAAGCGCUGUUGUUAAGGAAGCGGUACUUAACCAGAAAGGGACGGCUAACUACGUGCCAGCCGCCGCAGUAAUAC
rnacentral:rRNA from 1 species